GACGAACGCUGGCGGCGUGCCUAAUACAUGCAAGUAGAACGCAGUUGCGAACGGGGGAGUAACGCGUAGGUAACUGCCUCAUAGCGGGGGAUAACUAUUGGAAACGAUAGCUAAUACCGCAUACUGUGAGAUGGACCUGCGUUGGAUUAGCUAGUUGGUGAGGUAAAGGCUCACCAAGGCGACGAUACAUAGCCGACCUGAGAGGGUGAACGGCCAAACUGGGACGGAGACAAGGCCCAGACUCCUACGGGAGGCAGCAGUAGGGAAUCUUUGGCAAUUGACGGAAGUCUGAACGAGCAACGGCGCGGGAGUGAAGAAGGUUUUCGGGUCGGAAAGCUCUGUUGUUAGAGAAGCGGUACCUAACCAGGAAGGGCCGGCUAACUACGUGCCAGCAGCCGCGGUAAUUC
rnacentral:rRNA from 1 species